UUGAACUGCUCAGGGGGGUCUUGUCCAGUUCUUCCUCAUGGACCCUGUGCUGAGAGAUGCUGAGGGGAGUGCCUGGGGAAAGAGUCAGGAGGUGGAUUUGAAGGUGAAGUCGAACCCACCACUGACCCUGGGUGGCUGUCCCCAGGCACUUCCUCCCAUUGUCACCAUCCAUCCUCCUUUGACUCGGUGACAUGGGGGACCUCCGAGCCCCAUAUUCAGGUUUUGUUCUUCAUCAGCGGAUGGAGACGGCCCCUUCGGCUGCCUUGGAUCAUCCACGGCCCCUCUUCUGCUUCCAGGACCGCUGGCCAGCUCUCAAUGUGUGGUCCACUCUGAGCGCAAGUCCUCCUGUGUGGAUGUCCAGCACUCUGAGCGCAGGUCCUCCUGGGUGGAUGUCCAGCACUCUGCACAGUGAACCAUCACAGCAGGUCACACGGAUGCUGCUACCCAGGCCCACUGUCAGCCUGGCUGCUUCUGUCAGCCCAUUAGCCAGAGUCUCCAUUGGGUACCACCACUGCCACCACCAACACGAAUUCACAGGGACUGCCACCACCCCUACCUGAAUGUCAGCACCCACCCUGCCCCAGCCUCCUGUGGCCCUCAACGGCAGUCACCACCGUCACAACACAGGUCACCAGGAGUCCUGUCCACAGCCUGAAGAACCCAGGGUGGGCCCAGCACCAGGAGGCUGGAAUUGAUGGUCCCUGCUGGGGACCACCCCCAGCUGGACACCGGGCCCUAGAACCUCCUCACGAAGCCCAGAGGGAGUGUGACCUGUGGCAUCUUCUCAGUGUUCUCCAUAGCCACAAAAUGAUCCCUGGCCACAGCCAGACACUCAGCUGUGACCCUGCCCCCGACAUUGGAAUCACUGACCACUGAUCUUGGCCACACACUGAACCCUGAUCCUGGUCACACACUGAGCUCUGGCCACACACUGAACCCUGAUCCUGGUCACACACUGAGCUCUGGCCACACGCUGAACCCUGAUCCUGGUCGUACACUGAGCUCUGGCCACACACUGAGCUUGGUCACACACCGAACCCUGAUCCUGGUCGUACGCUGAGCUCUGGCCACACGCUGAACCCUGAUCC